UGGUGGGCCCCGCGCCCCGCUCCCCCUCCUCCCUUCCCUCCCACAGGUGCGUGGCAGACCCGCUGCUCCGCUGUACUAGCAAUAAUAAAACAAUUUCAUCAGAGAGCAAAAAUCCGACAAGCAAUCGCCUCGCUGCUCACUGGUCAAACCAAACCUGAUUAGGUGAGGUCACAGUGGAGGAUUAGAAGGGGAGGCCUUGCGGAUUCGGUUGCGUCUCUUCUCCGACUCGUCGUGGUUGAGUUUUUUGAUCGGGGGUGAUUGAUCCGUGCUCGGGCCGUGUUGCUGUGGUGUGCUGCAGGGAGG
rnacentral:lncRNA from 1 species